UACGUAGGGUGCAAGCGUUGUCCGGGAAUUAUUGGGCGUAAAGAGCUUGUAGGCGGUUUGUCGCGUCUGCUGUGGAAAUUUCGGGGACUCAACCCCGAACCUUGCAGUGGGUACGGGCAGACUAGAGUGUGGUAGGGGAGACUGGAAUUCCUGGUGUAGCGGUGAAAUGCGCAGAUAUCAGGAGGAACACCGAUGGCGAAGGCAGGUCUCUGGGCCAUAACUGACGCUGAGAAGCGAAAAGCAUGGGGAGCGAAACAGGAUU
rnacentral:rRNA from 1 species